AUUUCUUUCCAUGUUGCUGGUUCCAUUCGUCCAAGUAAGCAUAUCAAACAGUGAACAAACCAUGCUUUGUGAAGCUCCAUGCAAUGAAAUUUGACAUAUUAUGCAUAGGAGAGGAAUCACGAGAACUCUUUGCGCAUCAAUUGGCUAGAGUUUUGUCUCACCAAUUCUUCAUCCCAACAAUUCGUGACUGGAUCAAUGACAUCAGAUACCUUUCAUAGAAGGUGUCCUCUUCUAGGAGUGAUAAUUUUACUAUUUGCACGUUUGGACAAGGAGGAAGGAUUGACACAUUUUGCUGCUGCUGCUUGGAGGAGACAAACAAGGGGACAGUGAUCCGACUAGUUUCAACAAGCAAUGGACCAUGGACAAGCAGUGGAGCAGGGGCAAGCAAUGCAGGUGGAUCAUGAUGAUCUGUCAGCCAUCGUGGGGGGCUCUAAAGCAGCCCACGCAAACUUUGGCAUGUACAAUUACUGGGGUACUUCCAUUGACUUGUAUAAAUUCUCCAAUAGCCAAGAAGUUGGAUGGAGACGUGGGCACAUCUUCCAUGGAAGCAAUAGGGAAGAUAUUUCCUUUGAGGGAAAAUUUAUAGAAGAUAUCAAGCCUCGAGAUGACAUCAAUACAAGGGAAGCUAUGUUCUUAGUCAAAGUAUCGAAUCAGUUGGAUAGUGUAGAGGAUAUGCUGAUCAGAAGUUCAACGCUGAACCAUAUUGGAAUUCUAAAACCGUACAUUGCAGGCUUCAAUACCCAGAUCUCUAAAGUUGUCACUGGAUUAGUGUGACCACUUCUUCUCUUGAUGAUUGGUUAAAGAACAAAAAACUAUCAGACGAUUCGAAAUAUAUCCCAGUUGAAGUGCAGCAGUUGAUCAGGACUGCCUACAUGGCCAUUGAGAAGAUUUGGAGUGCAGGGUCUACAUCGGAUGAAUUGGACAAUUCUGUCAGCUAUUAUAUGAUUGGGGAUAGAAAAAAAUCGACCCAUUGCGCACUCGUACGAGGCUGGAGGUAGAGGAGAACAAUAUGCCACUCCGGCGUGCGUUUGGCAGGAUGAUAAUGAAUGCGAUUUACAGCAAAUGGCGGAUACAGAGUUGCUGGAUUUUGUUGAUCUUCUCGGGUAUGAAGCAGCAGGAGUUGAAGAUGUCUUGGGCCACCCUGUCCUCCUUUCGCCUCAUAGGCGGCAGCUCAUGUACUACCAGUUCGAUACGGAUAAACUACUUGCCAAUGAUCGACGUAAUUGGCUGCAAGCAAAUGCUUACCCUGCAGCUGGCUGGAUACUAUUUGCUUCAGGCUUUGAUCCAAUAUUAAAGAAAAUAAUUGCCUAUCAAGCAAAACAAUUUAUCAGCAAGAAUCAAUGGAAAAGGUAUGGUGAUGAUUAUUUGGUGCGGUGCCGUCGUAGCUUU